rnacentral:lncRNA from 1 species
GGCUGACUGCUCUCCCCUCGCGCCUAGGGAGCCGGUCGGAGAGCGCGAUUGGGGUGCGGAGCCCCGACGCUGCCCUGCCCCGGAUUUCAUUCCGCGGCGGGGGCUCCGCGAGCGGAAUUCCGGCGGCUGCCGUGACUCCAGUGCACGUGACGACAGCAUGUACGAUCCCUGAAUGGGCCCGUGGGCAUAUUUAGUCAUUCAUUUUUGAUCAGGAGAAAGAAGACAGCCAUCAUUUGAAAGUAAAGCUUCAGCGACUGAAGGAGUGUGGACUUUUUGAAUUUCAAGAACAGUAAAGUUGGAACACAGCAGAGGGUGUGUAAUAAAAUACAAUUGGAAAGAAGACUGAUGAAGAAAAAUAACAGCAUGAUUCAGCACACCAUUGAGUUCUUUGGGAUGCCCGAAAGUGUCUGGUUGGGAAACAUGAAAUAGAAGACGAGAACCUGCCUCAGCAAGCGUACCUGAGAAUACUUUUAAAGGAACCUGUUGAUAAAUGCAAAACAGUGGCUGUUGCAGUGAUGGAACUGUACUGGAACAAUGGGAGAAGCUGGUAGCUUAUAGGAAGCCAAGAUGACCAGAAUGUUUUUAAAUAAUCGUCUAUUAUUAGCAGAAGAUUUUUCUGCAUAGUUGGCACGCUGUACCUGUAUCGGUGUAUUACAAUGUAUGUAACUACACUCCCAGUACCUGGUAUGCAUUUCAACUGUUCUCCGAACUUUUCGGAGACUGGGAAGCCCAACUGCGAAGAAUAAUGAAGCUCAUUGCUGGAGGUGGCUUGUCUAUCACUGGCUCUCACAACAUGUGUGGGGACUAUCUGUACAGCGGCCACACGGUCAUGCUAAC